CCAACUUCGGGAGGGGUGUAUUUAUUAGAUAAAAAACCAACGCCCUUUCGGGGCUUCUUGGUGAUUCAUGAUAACUUUACGGAUCGCAUGGCCUUGCGCCGGCGACGGUUCAUUCAAAUUUCUGCCCUAUCAACUUUCGAUGGUAAGGUAUUGGCUUACCAUGGUUUCAACGGGUAACGGGGAAUUAGGGUUCGAUUCCGGAGAGGGAGCCUGAGAAACGGCUACCACAUCCAAGGAAGGCAGCAGGCGCGCAAAUUACCCAAUCCCGACACGGGGAGGUAGUGACAAUAAAUACUGAUACAGGGCUCUUUUGGGUCUUGUAAUUGGAAUGAGUACAAUUUAAACCUCUUAACGAGGAACAAUUGGAGGGCAAGUCUGGUGCCAGCAGCCGCGGUAAUUCCAGCUCCAAUAGCGUAUAUUAAAGUUGUUGCAGUUAAAAAGCUCGUAGUUGAAACUUGGGUCUGGCUGGCAGGUCCGCCUCACCGCGUGUACUUGUCCGGCCGGGCCUUCCUUCUGGAGAACCUCAUGCCCUUCACUGGGCGUGUUGGGGACCAGGACUUUUACUUUGAAAAAAUUAGAGUGUUCAAAGCAGGCCUUUGCUCGAAUACGUUAGCAUGGAAUAAUAGAAUAGGACGUGCGGUCCUAUUUUGUUGGUUUCUAGGACCGCCGUAAUGAUUAAUAGGGACAGUCGGGGGCAUCAGUAUUCAAUUGUCAGAGGUGAAAUUCUUGGAUUUAUUGAAGACUAACUACUGCGAAAGCAUUUGCCAAGGAUGUUUUCAUUAAUCAGUGAACGAAAGUUAGGGGAUCGAAGACGAUCAGAUACCGUCGUAGUCUUAACCGUAAACUAUGCCGACUAGGGAUCGGGCGAUGUUCUUUUUCUGACUCGCUCGGCACCUUACGAGAAAUCAAAGUUUUUGGGU
rnacentral:rRNA from 1 species